rfam:Canis lupus familiaris chromosome 13, whole genome shotgun sequence.
AGGAGGAACAGCCCCAGUGGCGGGGCAGCUCUGGAAACCUGGAUUCAGCUCCGGCCGGAACUCCGUCUGCAGGGCCUGGAGGCUCCGGGGCGGG